AUGAGUUACCACCGAGGAGGUGGUAACAAGCCGAAGGGCUUCGGAUUCACAGGCUUUCAGAUGACUGGAACGAAGAGAAGCGGAACGAGCAUUCCACCACCUGUGUCGAACACGGCUCUUAGUAAGCAAGGGUACCACACAAUGAAUUCCAUUACUGAGAACGCACUGUCGGCAUGUUGGGGUAUGCCAAAGAAGCGUACCAAAACUGAAGAAGAGUACUUCGAAGACGACGACGAGGCGCAAGCCUCUACCUUGGAAUAUAUUCCUGCUCCUGGCUCUCCUACAUAUGAAUUAUUAAAGAAGGCGGAGCAGAAGCCAGACAGUGACAGCGAGGAGGAUCCAUUAGAUGCAUUUAUGGCAGGAAUUGAUGCAGAGGUAAAAAAGAAUACGUACGAAGCUCAAUUAAAUGAGGAGGAGCGCAAGGAGGAUAAAUCCAAAGGCAUUAGGACUGACAUCGAUGGAGAAGAUGAUGAAGAAAGUUACUACAGAUAUAUGGAAGAAAACCCAACGGCUGGAAUGCAGCAGGAGGAUUCCGAUCAGGAAAUCGAGUACGAUGAAGAUGGAAAUCCUAUCGCUCCUCCGAAAAAGAAAGACAUAGAUCCAUUGCCUCCGAUUGAUCACUCGGAAAUCAAGUACGAGACUUUUGAGAAGAAUUUCUACAACGUCCAUGAAGAAAUCGCGAACCUGGGCAAGCAGCAAGUCGAAGAUUUGAGAAAGACCCUGGGUAUCAAGGUGUCCGGACCCUCUCCUCCAAACCCUGUAACGAGUUUCGCUCACUUUGGUUUUGACGACGCGAUGAUGAAGGCUAUUCGUAAGAACGAGUAUAUUCAGCCCACGCCGAUUCAAGCACAAGCCAUUCCAGCUGCUCUGAGUGGUCGAGAUUUGAUAGGAAUCGCCAAGACUGGAAGUGGAAAAACGGCAGCAUUUAUUUGGCCAAUGCUGGUGCACAUAAUGGACCAAAAGGAACUGCAAGCAGGAGAUGGCCCAAUCGGGUUGAUUCUGGCACCCACCAGAGAACUGUCCCAACAGAUCUACCAAGAGGCAAAGAAAUUUGGCAAAGUUUAUAACAUACAAGUGUGCUGCUGCUACGGAGGUGGAAGCAAAUGGGAACAGAGCAAAGCAUUAGAGUGCGGAGCUGAGAUAGUCGUUGCUACUCCUGGUCGAAUGAUCGAUCUGGUUAAGAUGAAGGCAACAAACUUAACCAGGGUAACGUUCCUGGUACUUGACGAAGCUGACAGAAUGUUCGACAUGGGCUUUGAGCCACAAGUGCGAUCAAUCUGUAACCACGUCAGGCUGGACCGACAAACCCUGUUGUUCAGUGCCACGUUUAAAAAGAGAGUCGAGAAAUUAGCAAGGGAUGUCCUAACUGACCCUAUCAGGAUAGUUCAGGGUGACGUUGGAGAGGCGAACACUGAUGUCACGCAAAACGUUCUGGUGUUCUACAAUAAUCCCACUGGGAAAUGGAGCUGGCUGUUGAGUAACAUAGUCCAGUUCCUCAGCUCUGGAAGCCUUUUAAUAUUCGUGACCAAAAAGUUGAAUGCCGAAGAACUCGCAAAUAAUCUCAAGCUGAAGGAAUUCGACGUCCUGCUGUUGCACGGAGACAUGGACCAGAUCGAGAGAAAUAAAGUGAUCACGGCUUUCAAGAGAAAGGAAGUCAGCAUGUUGGUCGCUACUGAUGUGGCAGCUCGGGGACUCGACAUACCUCAUAUUAGAACAGUUGUGAACUACGACGUUGCAAGGGAUAUUGACACCCACACCCACAGGAUAGGAAGAACAGGUCGUGCAGGGGAGAAGGGCACGGCUUUUACUCUUGUCACUGAGAAGGACAAGGAAUUUGCAGGACACCUCGUAAGGAACCUGGAGGGUGUCAACCAAGAAGUGCCAAAGGGUUUGAUGGACCUAGCGAUGCAGAGUGCAUGGUUCAGAAAGUCCAGAUUCAAGGGUGGAAAAGGAAAGAGUAUGAACAUCGGAGGUGCAGGUCUUGGCUUCAGAGGAAGAACCGGACCACCUCCUGCCCAGAGCUCUGGGUCUUCGUCACAAGCUACUAAGGAUAUCAGCGAAGUGGUGAAAAAACUGGAAAGACAGGGACCAGGCAGCGAUAGACUUUCUGCGAUGAAAGCUGCCUUCCGCAGUCAGUAUAACACUCAAUUUAGAGCAUCCUCCGAUCACACCUGGGAGCAGACGAUAACACCACCAUCCGUUAUCAUGCCACCACCUCCUCCACUUCCUGGGAAGCCUACGAGCGAAAACGCACCUCAGGAUGGACGCGCAGAUUCCGGCACUGCCGAAAAAAGCGAGCGGAAGAGGGUGCGGAAAAGCAGAUGGGAGUGAUCUCGCUUUAACGGAAAUUCCUGGAGAAAAUCUCAACAAAUUGAGGGAUUUUCAGUGUUGCGAGAUGCUUCAAAUUUUUUUCUUUAUAACAGCAAGGGAAAGAGGAAACGGAAGUUGCCGACCUCAAAGCCAACAACUCCUCGAGUCUUCGUCGUCUCCGCCCCGAAUAUUUUGGUCCAUAGGAGCGUUUCUGUAUUACUCAACGAUAAGCCAGGAAUUUAACCGCUGCCGGAAUAAAUAAAAAAGAAAAAGAAAAAGAUGGAAGAAGAACAGAAACCGGUCAGGAUUUAAUGCGAUUAUGGACGGCGCACGACGAUCCGAGGAGAGCUAAUAAAUAAUCGGCCUGUCGAGAAUAAGGCUCCACUUUACAUAACAUGUCAUCCUGCCUCUUCGUGCGUGCUCCAAUUUCAAGGCGCAAUGCGAUUCGCGUGCGGAAAACGCGCGUUUCUCGCGUUCACCUCGGACACGCGUGAAUCACGCGUCUCUGACCGAAUACGGAAACGCGGCCUUGGCGAGGGAAUCGCG